rnacentral:lncRNA from 1 species
GCGCCCCUCACACCAGCUCUCACCCCUGUGGCGGAGGCCUGCAUGUGACCCUGGGCCAGCUAAGCUGGUCCUUAGACGCGUGCCUCUGCGUCUCUCACUUCCUCUCUUUGUUGGAGGGGGAGGGACGGAGAAGAGGAGUGGAAAGUGGAACAAAGUCAGAUGAGUAGGAGCCCCUAAUCUAUAAUUGCAAGAGGAAGCUUGGCCUGGCGGUUUAAAACGGUCUUGCAAUGCUCUGAGCCCUCCUCUCCUCGCCUUAGAAUGCAACUGCUAAACCCUGCCCUGCCUGACAAGGCCUAUGAAAGCAGAAAGGAAGGAUCGUGCAGAGAAAGCCUAAAGCCGCUGUUCAGCCACAGAAGAAGCCUCAAGCGCUAGAUGUGGCGUCAAAUCUGGUGUUGGCCCUGUGGCAGGGUGGACCUGAAGACCACAUCUUCCUCUCCUCCCACUGCCUGAAACAGCUGUUGUGUGAGGGCCCUCGGCUCCUCAGUGGUGAAGCAGAUAGAGGCUGCUUGUUGUGCCUUGGUGAAUGCUGCUCUGUGUCCCUUGCAGCUGCAGCUUGGUAACCCCUCCACUCAGGCCACUGGGAGCCUCUUCUCUCCUCAGUGAUAAGCAGAAUAGUGCCAGCCACAUCAAAGAACCCUGGACCUCCUGGAGCAUUAGCAAUGGGAGGUCCCCAUCACCUCUCCUGACCACUCAC